GGAAUGGAGGCAGAGAAAUCACGUGUCAGUCUGGGGUGCUGAGGCUGGUGCUCAAGACGUUUCACCUCUGUCACUGGCACAGGGUCUAAGAGCUCAAGGUUUGAACUUGGAGGAUCCUGUUGAUCCAACGGCUUUCCCCCCAGGCCCGGGUUGGAUAGCCUGUAUUCUAAUCUGGACCCAGCCCUGGGUCAGCUCCCAUACCAGCUAAACAACUUCCAACAGCGUCCUGCCCAACGUGCCACACCCAUCCCACUCGGUCCUGUUUUCUCUGCUGCGCUCCCAACUCUGCCCAAGGCAAUUAGUCUCGAGGCCCCCAGACUAGCUGCUGCCAGCCGGGACCCAUCUGAACCGACGGCCUUCAUCAAAAGCCCCACAGAAAUAGUACAGUCAAGAGGCCCCACCAGAAGCUGUCUGGAGAAGAGAGCGAGAGCAAGAAACCCGGCCAGGCACCAAGACCACCUGAACAAACACAACAGGCUCUACACAUGUGCCCUCUCUGACCUCCACUGCUGCAGGUGAAUGGAUGUGUUAGGGGGGCACAGAGAGGAGGAGCAAUGGGAAGAAGUGAAAACAAUCCAUUCAAGGUAAACAGUGGCACUGCUUUGGCUCAGCUGAUCUGCUUUAACAAAUCUGCUGAAAAACGUAACCACCUAGGAACAGGAUUCUGGAGUCCACCGGAAAAAUGAGCAUUUUCUUCUCCUGCCCCUAUCUGAAUGACACACAGGAGGAUUAGGACUGCAGAUGCUUGAGAAAGCAGCCACAGGAAGAGGACACACAGGAGGAUUAGGACUGCAGAUGCUUGAGAAAGCAGCCACAGGAAGAGGAGAAGAGCAGUGUCGAAGUGCUGGCACCAGCGAUUCCUAAGACAUCACAACCUACCCCAGGCACCACUGCUUACAGGUGGCAGACCAUGUCACCAGGUGCACGCAGGGCACAGCCCCAUCCUCAAUCACACUCAGGCCUAAUCUACCACUACCUGUAAAGCCUUCACCCAGCCCCAGAGCCUGACCUCCUCCCUGACCCAUAACUAUCUCCUGGCUUAAAUCUUUUGUUUCAGGGUGAUGGAGGGCUGCUGCUGGUUCAUGAAGACUGGCAAGGUGGCCGUGAAGGACAGCACUGACCACAUCCAAGACACUAGACGGUAUGCAUCCCUUCUCUUCAGAGGACACCAAAAUGUAAAACCAGAAAUCCCACAGCCCCUCACUACUUUAUCUGGACCACCUUCAGCAAGAAAGCUGGGGUGGGGUUCCAAACAAGUCACUGUCUUCAUGAGAAAAAAACACUCUGAAGCCCAACCCAGGUGAAGACAAUGUUGAUUUCCGGCUCCAGUGGUGCAGUAUUCCCUGGGCUAUCACACUGCAUUAAAAAACCCUCAGAUUUCAGGUGAAGAGAACAAGGUCGCCUCAAGUUGCCAGUCCCAGUAAAAACAAACAGGCAUUAACUUUUGGAUGGCCAAGGAGGAUGCUUCCCUCAGCAUCACCUAACAUCAUUAAUUGACUCUUCCAAAAUGGCAGAAAGGGACCACUGAAAUUAAGUCAUCCAAUUUCCUGAAUGCACUUGGGGGACUGAAAUCAGAGGAGAAGAUGUGUCUGACUUAGAAAAACUCAGUAAAGGCUUGUUGGUUAAAGUGGCACAAAGCAGAUUAUGAAUUCCAACUUGGGACAUGGCUUUGUCUAUUUCUAGGCAACAGGCUUGCUCCAAGUUUUAGGUUGGAGCUGUAGCCAGAGCCAGAUGAUCAGUGGGGCAGAGAAGGAACCGCCUAUUGAUCUCCCCAUCCCUCUGGCAUCAGGCUUCCAGAGAAGAACUGACCUUCUCUAUCUUGAACUGACAGUGCACAGAAGAGAUUCAAUUUUAAGAAACACGUACUGAACCUCUGCUCUUUACCAGGCUCUGCAUUAGCCACGUGAGAUAAAGUAGCUCAGUACGUUCUCACAAUAAUUCCGUGGCUUUGGUUUUCUUAUCUGUAAGAUCAGAACCAAACAAGCCACUUCAUCCCCCUGAGGCUGAGUCACGUACUCCUGGGGUCGGACUGACGAGGUAUGGACUGUGGCUGACACACAUCUGCCGUGUGAUAUUGGGCCUGUUAGUUGACUGCUUGGAACCUCAGCUUUCCACAGUAGAUGGAUGUAGGGAUUAACUGGAAGCUCAUAUGGAAAUAGCUUACCAUUGGGCCUGACGUAUUAAACACAAGUUCUUCCUUUCCUAAUUCCAGAUGCAGUGCUCCUGGGAGCUGUGGUACAGUCAAACGGUGGUAACUGGGGCGUGCCUGGCUGCCUUGAAUGAUUAAGAGCAUGUCUAUCUUCCUACCUGGAGUCCACUCUAAGUGAAACGGGGAUCUGGAAUGAGGUGGCCCCUCACGUUCUGUAAAACGCUGCCAAAAUUAUAAAACUUGGAUUUAAUUCGACCAGAAACCAGGGCUGCGCUGGGAAGCAGCAGAACCCCUUCCACCCCUGGGAACAGGGCCAUGUUUUGAAGUCUCACAGGAUCCUGGAGGUGAAAGUCCAAUUUAGGGAAGACAGCUGGAUUCCGAGAAGACGGGUGAGGGCAGAGAAGGAGGAACAAGAGAGGUACACAGGAAGAACUGCGGCACUCCCUACGGAGUGGACAAAUAACUACCAAGUAUGUGACUCUGAAUUAGAAAGGGAAACGGGCAGAAGAAAACGAAGGGCUGUUACCGUUAACAUUUUUGUCUGUCUGGAGGACUAAAACACGUCAUAAUUCAGAACCACAGUGCCCAAUACGAGUUCCUGGUCAAUGCAUUCCAGUACAAAGGCAGUCUAAUUAGAAACCAGGGACUUCCCUGACGGUCCAGUGGUUAAGACUCCGUGCUUCCACUGCAGGGGGCACAGGUUCGAUCCCUGGUCAGAGGACUAAAAUCCCACAUGCCCCGUGGUGCAGCCAAAAACCAACCAACCAACACACAACACUAACAUAACACUCUAUUUCUGACUCGAAGAGAACCCCAGGAGUAAGGCUCUACCGUAUGAGAGCGUCUUCCUGGUAGCACCUCUCCUGCCAGAGCACGUCUCUGAAAAAGGAGGUGGGACCACAGGGGCAGGCGAAGAGUUGAUUUAAAUUCUCUUGAACCAACUUCCAGAGGGCACAAUCCAGAAUUAGCUAGAUAUUCAAAUGUUUUAUAUUUUCAACAGAUAUCGAGAUGGGAUCUGCAUUUCCACAAGGACUGAAUGGAAGGGUCUAUAAUGGAAACUGCUGUCUUGAAAAUACCCCAGGAUCUAGUACGCCAGAACCCUGAAGUUCAUGCCUAUAACACACACCCUGGUGGUGGUACUGAACACCAGGCACGAGAAUGGUUUCAGGAGACUGUUCCAACGACAAGGUCCCCAUCCUUGAACUGGCAAGCCCGAGAGUCAUGUACACCAUAGCUCUAGGGAGACUCAGUGGAAGGGACCUGAGGUUUUACUGCUGUUUGUUAGAGAACUAGAACAGGGAAGCUUCCUAUCAGGCCAACACUCAGAGGUCUCUUGUGUGAUAGCCAUAGAAGAAGCGCUAAUUGGGCGGCUCUUUCAUACUGGGAGAAUCACCGAGAGCAGA